UGGUUAUGAAACAAUUGACUGUGUCGGUAUGCAGCCGAUUGUGGAGCCAGACCUUGGGUUAUGCGAUAACCUCAAACCGAAUAGGUUCUUCAGAACUGAAAGAAAACGCUUUUA
rnacentral:ncRNA from 1 species